GACGAACGCUGGCGGCGUGCCUAAUACAUGCAAGUAGAACGCUGAAGGAGGAGCUUGCUUCUCUGGAUGAGUUGCGAACGGGUGAGUAACGCGUAGGUAACCUGCCUGGUAGCGGGGGAUAACUAUUGGAAACGAUAGCUAAUACCGCAUAAUAGUAGAUGUUGCAUGACAUUUGCUUAAAAGGUGCAAUUGCAUCACUACCAGAUGGACCUGCGUUGUAUUAGCUAGUUGGUGGGGUAACGGCUCACCAAGGCGAGGAUACAUAGCCGACCUGAGAGGGUGGUCGGCCAGACUGGGACUGAGACACGGCCCAGAGUCCUACGGGAGGCAGCAGUAGGGAAUCUUCGGCAAUGGGCGGAAGUCUGACCGAGCAGCGCCGCGUGAGUGAAGAAGGUUUUCGGAUCGUAAAGCUCUGUUGUAAGAGAAGAACGAGUGUGAGAGUGGAAAGUUCACACUGUGACGGUAUCUUACCAGAAAGGGACGGCUAACUACGUG
rnacentral:rRNA from 1 species